rnacentral:rRNA from 1 species
CUCCUACGGGAGGCAGCAGUGAGGAAUAUUGGGCAAUGGAGGCAACUCUGACCCAGCCAUGCCGCGUGAGUGAAGAAGGUUUUCGGAUUGUAAAGCUCUUUCGGGUGUGACGAUGAUGACGGUAGCACCUAAAGAAGCCCCGGCUAACUUCGUGCCAGCAGCCGCGGUAAUACGAAGGGGGCAAGCGUUGUUCGGAAUUACUGGGUGUAAAGGGAGCGCAGGCGGGAGAACAAGUUGGAAGUGAAAUCCAUGGGCUCAACCCAUGAACUGCUUUCAAAACUGUUUUUCUUGAGUAGUGCAGAGGUAGGCGGAAUUCCCGGUGUAGCGGUGGAAUGCGUAGAUAUCGGGAGGAACACCAGUGGCGAAGGCGGCCUACUGGGCACCAACUGACGCUGAGGCUCGAAAGUGUGGGUAGCAAACAGGAUUAGAUACCCUGGUAGUCCACACCGUAAACGAUGAUUACUAGGUGUUGGAGGAUUGACCCCUUCAGUGCCGCAGUUAACACAAUAAGUAAUCCACCUGGGGAGUACGACCGCAAGGUUGAAACUCAAAGGAAUUGACGGGGGCCCGCACAAGCAGUGGAGUAUGUGGUUUAAUUCGACGCAACGCGAAGAACCUUACCAAGUCUUGACAUCCUGCGACGCACAUAGAAAUAUGUGUUUCCUUCGGGACGCAGAGACAGGUGGUGCAUGGUUGUCGUCAGCUCGUGUCGUGAGAUGUUGGGUUAAGUCCCGCAACGAGCGCAACCCUUAUGGUCAGUUACUACGCAAGAGGACUCUGGCCAGACUGCCGUUGACAAAACGGAGGAAGGUGGGGAUGACGUCAAAUCAUCAUGCCCUUUAUGACUUGGGCUACACACGUACUACAAUGGCGUUAAACAAAGAGAAGCAAGACCGCGAGGUGGAGCAAAACUCAGAAACAACGUCCCAGUUCGGACUGCAGGCUGCAACUCGCCUGCACGAAGUCGGAAUUGCUAGUAAUCGUGGAUCAGCAUGCCACGGUGAAUACGUUCCCGGGCCUUGUACACACCGC